rnacentral:sRNA from 1 species
UGCAUCUGGGGCCUGCGAGGAUGAGAACCUCCGGGGGCAGGAGGUUCGACUCGAGCGAAGCGAGAGAACGUUGCGUCAGCAAAACGGCCCGCAGGGCGAGCCACGAAGUGGUGAGUCAUCCUCUAUCACCGACCA